GCUCUGUUUUGUUUUGUUCUCCUUGUGUUACAGGUGUCUAUAGUUAUUCUUUGGGAUACACCGCGUUUGUUUAAACUGGUUUUGAACUUGGUGUUUAUUAACAUGAGAUGUGCAACUUUCUGCUGUUCUACCUUAAUUUUAAAAAAAAUGACUAGGGAAAAAAAAAGGCCUUUCCUGAUUAGGGAAGUGGUGUGGUGUUUUGGCAUGUGCUUAAAAACCUGAAGGUCCCUUUAAAACAGAUGUCUUGGAGGAAGCAGAAGCAUUGCUCUCCAAAAUGAACUGUGUGUGUGGUGUGUGCAGUCCUGUGAGCGCAGCAGCCUCGGAGGAGCUGUCGUGCACUGAUGGAUAUAUCAAGCCUGCUACUGUAAAUGGAGUACUAGGGGGAGACAGAAAGAGAAAUAAAGCUGUCUUUUAACCAGUGCUCAAGGCAGUGGAACGGAUCUACUUCCUCAUACCAGAUUCAUAGUUUUGUAAUCAAUCAGCUAAAUUGAUGUCUGCUCUAUGUUAGAUGCCAAGGACGGCAGUGUUAGGAAGGUUUAGCCAGCCGGGAUUGAGGUCAGCAGGAUGCCAGGCCGAGAUUCCGUUUAAAUCUGCCCUGCUGUUAACAAUGCUCAUAAAGUGGGGCGGGGGGGGGGUGGAAUUUGCCUUCUGUUCUCUCGGGUCUUUUGUGCAACUUUUUCAUGGGCUACCCAGUCUGAACUGAGUGACUGAAGAGGCAUUGGGGAAAAAAAACGCAAAGGUUAAAUUUAGAAUAAAAACAAAAAUAAACCUCCCUUCUCCCCAAAACCUCAGUGCUUUCCAGAGUCCUCCAGAUUAUCAUAUUAAAACCUGAUAACAUCUGGAACUAGUUAGAACUGCUGGACAGGUCAUCCAUGUUAAAAAAUAAAUAAAUUCAUCUUGCUGUUAUUACUAGGAAACGCUGUCCACGUGGGUACUGGGUCUCAGCCACAGUGGAUUGUCUCUUACAGGCUUAUGUUCGGUGCUGGGAGCAGUCACACUGCUCUAAAACAAGAACAAGUGGACAAAGGGGAGGAAUAACUAAGAAGGACCAUCUCCCCCAGCAUCCCAGGGUUUGUUCAAACCACCUACAUACAGUCUGUGAUUUGUAUUCCUCCACAACCUUGCUCGGUUGGAAUUUGGCUUGACGAUGCUUGUUGAAUGUCGUGGCAUACAUGGAAAAAAUGAAGACAGAGGAUUGCUUUAUUGCUGUUCUUGAAGACAGCUUUGUUAAGGGGUUGGUUUGAUAUUAGAAACAAGGAUUUCCACUGCAGGCUUCCACUGUUGAGAGCUCCUGGGAGGCAGAGUUAUUAUUGCGAGCUGCCUGGGAUGGUUUGUUUGGUCCUUUCCGCCCACCAGUAUACGUCAGCAAGCUAUAUUGGGAAGGUAUUCUGUAGGACACGAGCAUUUUGCAUUAAAAUCGUGCAAUCUUUGAAGGGCAGAGCAUGCCGUGGUUGCUUUUUUCUUGGUCCUGGCGCACUUUGAUACCGAACGGUUCUCUAAUAAUUCAUACGAGUUGUCAGUCAGCUAGGUUGCUGGGGUCUCUGCUUUUAGUAGCAUGAAAAGUGAACAGUGGAAAAGGAUUAUUUGUGAGAAGCCACUGCGCUGUAAAUGCUGUAUGUCGGUUUUGGGAGAAGUACGGAGCCUUCUGGCUCUUGGACCCCGAAACCUCUGCCCGAGCCAGCCAAAGCUGGUUUCACAAAGAGCCUUGCAGUUCAGGAACUGAGAAUAAACAAUGGGACUCAAGGUGUAAAAGCCAAACUCUCUUGAGGGAGGAAGUCAUAGCUGGGAAGGUGCCUGGGGAAGCGAGGGAGUGCGGUCACCUACAACAUCUCCUGAACCAGCCGGGCCCUGCUUCUUGAAGGCUUGCCCUCUGCUCCUCGAGCAGACAACAGCCGGGCUCUAAGAGAAGUCGUUUGCCCCCAAAGAUGUGCUGCCUUGUGGGAUUUAUAGGCACAGGACAGCUAGUUGCUGGCCUCGGGAUGUAUCGUUCCCUAAGGAGGAGCAGCUCUUGCCGGAGCAGUUGGCCCUGCUGGGUCACCCCUGCCCCAGCGGGCCCGAGAGCUGGCGGCACUGCCGGGAGCUGGACGACAGAAAGGGAGAGAAAUGUAACUCGUCUGUUGUGUCUCCUGUUCAGGAAGAAAUCCAAGGAAAUGGGUUGUUUUCCUGUCCGAGAGGCAGGAUUUGGGAAUCCUUGGGCUGUCAAACCCCGUGGUCUGCCCAGACUUCCGACGUGCCCAGAGGUAGUGUGAGCCAUGGGGUUUCUCCAAAGCAUGCAGAUGCUUUAACUUGGAAGGGCUGCAGUGAAAGUCUCCCGGGAAACAUCUGGUUGGACAGAAUUUCUUGUCGCUGUGACCCAGAACCAAGGAGGACCUUGCCUGGGGCGUUAAAUAUACAGUCUGAGAGGAGAGGCAUGCUUUGGAGUUUAACCAAGAGAACCUGGAGGCAUGCUGCCUGCCUUCUGUCCAAGCAACCAAGCCCUUUCCUUACUCACUCUCUUCAUUAAAACCGUUUCCACUUCCUCUGAAAUAGUUGCAGAUUAUCAGCUGAAAAAGAAAAAAAGAAAGUCUUCCUCCUGGAGCGUGCCUGCCCUGGUGUGCUCGGCCUUACCUCUGGGCUGGGGUCGCGGCGGUGGGACCUCGGCAUGGGUUUGAGGAGCGGCCGGUGGAGUUUGCUGCUGACCUUUGGAAAGCAGGGGCACAGCAGUUCCCUUCUUCAAGAAACGGUUACCUCCCAAAAGAGGGUUGGUUGUUUCUUUUGGCAGCUUGCAGAGGGAAGUGGGAUUUAAAAAAAAAAAUAAUAAUAAAAAAAUCUGGAUAAAUAUUUUCCAGUUGGUCUCACAGUCUAGGAAGCAUGUUCAGACGCUGCUUCAUCGCUCCUUGGCUGCAGAAAUCCCUCCUGGAUCGAUGCAGGCAUCCUCUUGGGCGAGGAGGGAUGCCGAACCUGCGGAGAGCUGUCUCCUGCCGUGCGUGCUCGCUGCCCCGGGACGCUGCAGCUUCUCCCCUCUGUGCUGCUUGGGAGCAACUUUUGGUGCACAUGCCGUGGCUUCUGACCACUCUCACACCCAGGCGUUUCAUACAAGCGGUUAAAUUGACAUGUGCAAAGCCCCGAGUGAGAAGGACUUGGGCUCAGUAUUAAGGUAUUAUUUAUACCAUCAUUAAUUAAAGAGCACUUUAAUUUCUAGCAGAUGUACCAGCUCGAGGAAAGAGAAGUAGCGCUCUGAUAAGCUUAAUGGUUGCGAACACACUGAGAUCUCUUUAGGAACGAGAUAAGGAAGGAGCUGUGCAGACAACUCAGAGCCUUGGAUCCAAGGGUCGUGGGUGAGCUGCUGCACUCUGUUUUAUUCUGCUUUUAUUUCUGAGUAUUGCCAGUGACCCUUCAACUCUGUUAAGAGUAGAUUUGUGAGAGACUACCCAGAUAACAUGUAUUUCACUGCUCCUUCUUAUCUAGAUCUCAGGGCAAUGCAAGUUUAAUUGGAGAUUGAUGACAAAAUAACUCUUCAGUAGAAUCAAUUAUCUGUAUCUUCAGUGGGUAUCUCUUGUGGGAGGGAAAAGGUAAACACUGAUUUCUUGCAUUUGGCAUGCAUUUGUCUUCUACACUCACUCUAUACUUGAGAUUUUUAUAGUGACGCUUCCCACAGGAUUGUUUCCUUCACUUUCUUCACCUGGGUGAAGAUCUGUUUCUUCAGUAUUUUAAUUUUAUGCUCUAAAUCAUUUUAGAGGUUUUUUGUACCUAGGCUGAGAGAGUGUAGUUUCUAUCCUUGCUUUUCUGGAAUUGUUCUUUUUUUUUUUUUUUUUUUUUUACAGUUCACUGAAGUUACUCAAAUGUGGUGCUCUUUUUAAUACAGUCUAGAUUGAUUAAAUUCUAAGUUUUGUAUCUUUCCAUAUAAACUUGUAUAGAGAGAAUCUGCAUUUUCACACUUAGAACUCAAAGCCAAGGCAUUUUGGUUUCUUCAGCGAUUCCCCAAACACAAAACUAUUUCUUCUGUCUGAAAUGGGAAUUCAGCAUUUAUUACUCAUUGAGGCAGCUUUUCAAUUUUUCAUGUUUUCAAAAGUGCUUUCUCAUUUUAGAAGUGCUCCUACUGACUCAUGUUCCCCCGCACCCCCAGAUCGCUUUUUCUGUUGAGCAGUUUAUUUUUGGUGGGGUUUUUGUUAGGGAACCUCUACACAAUUGAGCUCACCCUGUAACUCACACGCCCAUUGACGUGCUGUGUAAAUGCCACUUUAUCUGCACUCUGCUGUGUUCCUACGUUUCAUUGCAAGGUGCAGGCUCGGUGUUUGCAGUCAUUAACCUUUAAUUGCCAGAACAGCUUCAGGAGAGCUGUUUAUACCUAGGCUACGUCAAAAUGACCCAAGUUUUUCGGAGAGUUACAGCUGUGGGAGCAGCAGUCUGCAGUCAAGUGUCGGUCUGUUUUUCAAGCUGUAGUGUGUCUUCGUGGAGCUAAAUGUUGUGGUACGUGGUGUACUGAAAGUUGCAGAGGGGUGGGACGCACCGGGGAGCAUUCCUGGCAUUUCACAGCUUCGGAUACGGAUCCUACUUCUCCCCCCUGAGUAUUUCCUUCGGAUCUUGACCCAUGUGUCAUGUUCGUCACGAGCGCCGUGUCGUUUACUGUGGGUAAUAGGCUAAUGCCAUGCAGAUGAAUGUUUAUGAUCACAACAGAAAACAAUUAGCGACAAUAUCUGAGGCUAAUAAAAUUAGUCAUCCGGUGCUAAUUAUGCUUAACAAAGGGUGUCUCUGAGCAGGUAGUUGUGCUCAUUUCAGCUGUGACUGUUGAUUUUCCUCCUCCUUAAUCCCAGACCAUUUUGUCUGAAGCCAAAAAUUAACAUCCACCGGGAUGAAUGAGGACAUUUUUAUUUGUGAGGACUUUCCUGACUCAUGAAAUCAUGACGAGGGAACGGCAGAGUCUUGCAUUCCAGGUUGCGUUUUGCUGCUCUUGUGGUCUGUGUCUGUGUUUUUGCUCCUUGUGUGGAGCAUGCUGAUAACCUGUGCUUGCAAUACUGUUACCUGUGGUUACAUUGGUCUUGAGAAAUUAGUGCAUGGGAAUUACCGGGAGGGUAAGUGUGUCCUAGAGAUGUCCCCUGGAUGUUCUUUGCAGGGCGGCAGGGUUUGAAGAGAUGCAGCUUUCACAGAAGCAGCUAAGGAGUGGAAGUAUGGGGAUUAGGAGAAAGGGCUCUCAGCAAACUAGAGAUUUCGGGUUGUGGUGGGAGAAGCUUUUCCUUUGACAACAGGCCAGACAGGGCCGAGAGGAAGCAGCCGGAGGAGGAAGAACAGCCUUUGCUUUGCAGAGGAGGAGCUAUGUCUGGCGAGCAGUUGGACUGGGAGUCUUUGGCCAAGUUUCACGUCUUGCCUGCUGCGUCCCUGGAAAGAGGAGCUCCGGCGCGAGAGCCCACGGGGCAGGAGCAGCUCGCGGUCUGGGGGCAGCCCCAGCAGCCUGUCCUCGCCCUUUGCCCCAUGGAGCAGUGAGCGCAGGCGUGGGAGGCGUGCAGAAGACAGCGGAAAGAAAUGGUGUUAGACUUCUCUCAAAACGCUGUAUUUGUCUUAAAGGUAGACGUAAAACACAGCUGUCGAAGCGUGCAGAAAGGGGAGCUUCGCACAGCAGCUCGGCUCUCCUGGAAAACUCUGAGGUUCUGCCACUCCGGAGAUGGGAACCUUAACUCUUGGAGGCAUUUAGAGCCUGUGGCCAGAGGGCAAGUUCUGCCACGGUGAAGCUGUCUUCAGGCAGAGCUCCUUGCUUUGCGUUUCCCCAGCGCUGCCCGUAAUGGAGCUUGGUGCAAGCUGAGAAUUGCCGGCGUGCUUACACAACCAGCACUUCCUAGGCACAUUGACCCUUUUUUCUUGAAAUAACAAACCCAGAGGAAAGUAUUCGUUUUAGGUCUUUGUUUCAUUUUUCCAAAUAACGAAUGGUGUACAUCUGUAAUGCUAACAGUACUUGAUUUAGGACUCAAAGCAAUGGCAUGUUAGAAGUAAACAAACGUGCACAAGAUUAUCUCCGUGCUCUUAUUUAUAGCGUUACUUGAUCGCUUGCUUCAACUAAUUAACUUGUUUUAUUUAGCCUUAUGCUUUCUGUGCUGAUACUUUGGGGUAGUUAUUCAAAAGACUCUCUAGGCUCUUCUGAAAUAAAUACUUCAUAAUCCUGUAAAACAUCACUUGUUUUAAAGGAAGCUGUUUACAUAAAUAACAAGCUAAUGCAUGAACCUCUUGACAUGUUAGCAUUGAAACCAACUGUCCCCUGCGUGGUUUUGUUCUUACUACGAGGGAAGCUGAAGCCAGACAUCUGGUCCUCUGUGGGCAGGAGAAUGCUGUACUAGUUACAGGGCUGCUCGUUUGAAUGGAGUCAGAAAACAUUGUGUACAGAGGAGGUGAAGAAAAUGACUGAAAGAGAGUUUUUGAAGAGGCUUAGGUUUCAGAGAGCAGGUGUUCUCUGCCUCUGUUCCUUAUGGGGGCAUGCUGGUCAUUGUAGUGUGUGCGUCUGGUGUAGGAGCAUCCCUCCCAAAACUGCUCGCGGGGAAAGUGGUGCAGAAAGGGGCGAAGUCCCUGCCAGUGGCAUGUGAGGGCAGGGAGCGAGCAAGGGCGUUUUUCCAGCUCCAGAGCAGUGUUGUCAGCUAUCGCCAUACUUCGCUGUCAGUGCUGUCUGUAGGUUUGAGACCUCGGGGAUCAGCUGUGUUGUGGUUUUAUGGCUCCUCCCUUCAGUGAGAUCUGAGUUUUCACUCCUGAGAUCGUUUAUUUGCAGAGCUCUCAGAUCCCUCUCCCCUUGUCACGGCCAAAUCCCUGUUUCUAGGUGAAAUGCAAGGAGCUACGCUGCCAAGUCUGGCGGGAGGCUGUAAGCAGACCUGCUCGUUCAGUUUAUGUCUAACUUUUUCUGCGUGUCUUGUAGGAACAGAAGUGCUUUCCUACACCCCAUUCUCAAAAUACUCCUGAGUGUAAUUGUCUGAGACCAUCACAGGUGUUGGUGGUGAUGCUGUUGAGGGCCGGCUGCUCGCUGCAUCUCUCCCAGCUCGGUGACUGCGGGUUGCAGUUCUCUUCCAGCUGCACCUAGGAGCUCAGCGCGUUUCCCCAGGAAAAGCGAAGCCCCUUUUUAGUGCAGUCGCUUCUGGAGCGAUUCUCCUCGGCCAGUUGCUGACUGACACAGAUACUUUGGCAUGGGGUUUUGAUGAAUUACCGCUGAAAAAUCUGCCAAGCUUCUGAUACUUGCUCCGCAUCUCCACCUACCUCUUGGCUCCUGCUGGCCCUGGCUGCACCGGUACAUGAGGAAUGGCUUUGUCGCAACACUGCUGUGAGUGUUUUGGGCUGUCUGGCGAGAGCUGGCUUCUGGCUGCACUGCUGUGGCCACAGGCUUCCUGUCAGCCCGGCUGCUGUCUGAUACACACACAAGUAUGGUUUCGGCCACCAGAGUCUUGAAAUGACGGUCCUUGCCUUUAUGCAGCUUCCUAUGCACCUUCUUGAACGACACCGAGACUUCAUUUAAUCAAAACAGGGUGAAGUUUUGGAAAGAAAUGAAUAGCCUUCCUGAGUCUGCUGUGAAGGAACCGAGAUGUUUGUCUCCUGGUUUUCAUGGCUGCUGACCACGACGUCCAUGUCUCACUGUCAUGUGCAGGGUUGACUCCUGUUUCCCGUUUCUCGGUGUCGGAGGUGACCUGGGUCACUAAAGGCUUUUAAUUAACCCAGAGGGCUCGCAGAAGGCAUGCGGCACGUGGGGAAGUGCUGAGUGCUCCUCUGGUGCGGGUUAGGGCAGGAGGUGAGGCCCUGGAGGCUCUGCGGUGGUAGGCAUUAACAGGUUCAUUUAUCUUGCACUAUUAAAACUUCAUUGAAAGGAACUGGCUGGGCUAUUCACCCCGGCGCUUCAGAGAACCAAGUGGGAAGGCGCUGUGUAUGACUCGUAAGGCACGAGUAAACCAGAGAGCCCCAGUAAAGCAUUUUGCAGAAUUAUCUUUCUCUUGGUGCUGUAGAGACGAGUCCUGUACGUGUCCAACACCAGGGUUUCUUCGGAGCUUUCUGUGAAUGCUGCGUGCCUACAAACAAAAGUGAAGGCCUGUACAUGUGGUUGUAAGAUGCCAUUGGGUUUGUCUGAGGGAAAUUAUUUGUGUACAGCAGGAGUUUUGAGUUACUUUAAUAAAAGAAGUGAAUGGCUGCAAUGCACUAAUUGAGAAAUUGGCGUUUGGGCUGUGACUGAAACAAAUUGGCUGUGCACAUGUGUGAGGCUGUGAACUGGGCCUCUGCCCCCAGACCUCCCGGGCUCUGUGCUCUUGCUUCUAACGCCAGCCCAUCUGUCUCCAAAAUGGGUGUUUUUUUCUGCCGAAGCAGUAGGGGACAAAGUCUGCAGAUGAGGAGGAAAUACUCGUGUGCAGUGUGCGCUGGUGGUAUCUGAUUUGAACAUGCUCGAUGGGGAAUCACGCGCUCGUUUGGACGCAGGUGGAUUUAUUUUAACAGCAGGACUCCAGGUAGGAGAGCUACGUGGGAACAGACACGUGGGUUCAGAGAGAAAUGAACACUACAAAAUGUAGGAGGAAGAAAAAAGUUUUAUUGUCCCUACAUAGAAAGGACUUGCCCUGACCAAGUCACGCGUUUCUGAGCUGUCAAGUACGUGGAGGAAAAAAACGUGACAGCAUAGAGCUGGCCCCCAGCAGGCCCUGGCUGAAUUAAACACACACAUAGCAAUCUGCGCUCUGAAUAACUCCUGCAUGGAUAUAUAAUUUAAAAGAGAAAUGCUUUCAGGGUGAUGAUAGGUUUUGUCUACAUCUGUAAUGUCUCAUUUGUCUGUGGAUGCCCAGCAGCCUUCGCUUUGUUUAUUCAAAGAUGAGCAAACAUGAAGCUGAGUGUACUUUUCAAUGAUCGGGGGGAAUCAACAUAAAAAAUGUAGGUCUUUA